UACGUAGGGGGCUAGCGUUGUCCGGAAUCAUUGGGCGUAAAGAGCGUGUAGGCGGCCCGGUAAGUCCGCUGUGAAAGUCGGGGGCUCAACCCUCGAAUGCCGGUGGAUACUGUCGGGCUAGAGUGCGGAAGAGGCGAGUGGAAUUCCUGGUGUAGCGGUGAAAUGCGCAGAUAUCGGGAAGAACACCCGUGGCGAAGGCGGCUCUCUGGGACGGUACUGGACGCUGAGACGCGAAAGCGUGGGGAGCGAACGAGG
rnacentral:rRNA from 1 species